UAGGAAUAUUCGUCAAUGGGGGAAACCCUGAACGAGCAAUGCCGCGUGAAGGAUGACGGUCCUUUGGAUUGUAAACUUCUGUUGUUAGGGAAGAACAAACUGUAUAGGAAAUGAUACAGUUCUGACGGUACCUUUCAAGAAAGCUCCGGCUAACUACGUGCCAGCAGCCGCGGUAAUACGUAGGGAGCAAGCGUUAUCCGGAUUUAUUGGGUGUAAAGGGAGCGUAGGCGGACGCUUAAGUCAGUUGUGAAAGUUUGCGGCUCAACCGUAAAAUUGCAGUUGAUACUGGGUGUCUUGAGUACAGUAGAGGCAGGCGGAAUUCGUGGUGUAGCGGUGAAAUGCUUAGAUAUCACGAAGAACUCCGAUUGCGAAGGCAGCCUGCUGGACUGUAACUGACGCUGAUGCUCGAAAGUGUGGGUAUCAAACAGGAUUAGAUACCCUGGUAGUCCACACAGUAAACGAUGAAUACUCGCUGUUUGCGAUAUACAGUAAGCGGCCAAGCGAAAGCGUUAAGUAUUCCACCUGGGGAGUACGCCGGCAACGGUGAAACUCAAAGGAAUUGACGGGGGCCCGCACAAGCGGAGGAACAUGUGGUUUAAUUCGAUGAUACGCGAGGAACCUUACCCGGGCUUGAAUUGCAACUGAAUGAUGUGGAGACAUGUCAGCCGCAAGGCAGUUGUGAAGGUGCUGCAUGGUUGUCGUCAGCUCGUGCCGUGAGGUGUCGGCUUAAGUGCCAUAACGAGCGCAACCCUUAUCGAUAGUUACCAUCAGGUUAUGCUGGGGACUCUGUCGAGACUGCCGUCGUAAGAUGUGAGGAAGGUGGGGAUGACGUCAAAUCAGCACGGCCCUUACGUCCGGGGCUACACACGUGUUACAAUGGGGGGUACAGAAGGCAGCUACACGGUGACGUGAUGCUAAUCCCUAAAGCCUCUCUCAGUUCGGAUUGGAGUCUGCAACCCGACUCCAUGAAGCUGGAUUCGCUAGUAAUCGCGCAUCAGCCACGGCGCGGUGAAUACGUUCCCG
rnacentral:rRNA from 1 species